rnacentral:rRNA from 1 species
UGCAAGUCGAACGGUAACAGAAAGAAGCUUGCUUCUUUGCUGACGAGUGGCGGACGGGUGAGUAAUGUCUGGGAAACUGCCCGAUGGAGGGGGAUAACUACUGGAAACGGUAGCUAAUACCGCAUAAUGUCGCAAGACCAAAGAGGGGGACCUUCGGGCCUCUUGCCAUCGGAUGUGCCCAGAUGGGAUUAGCUAGUAGGCGGGGUAACGGCCCACCUAGGCGACGAUCUCUAGCUGGUCUGAGAGGAUGACCAG